rnacentral:rRNA from 1 species
AUGAACGCUGGCGGCGUGCCUAAUACAUGCAAGUCGAGCGAACAGACGAGGAGCUUGCUCCUCUGACGUUAGCGGCGGACGGGUGAGUAACACGUGGAUAACCUACCUAUAAGACUGGGAUAACUUCGGGAAACCGGAGCUAAUACCGGAUAAUAUAUUGAACCGCAUGGUUCAAUAGUGAAAGACGGUUUUGCUGUCACUUAUAGAUGGAUCCGCGCCGCAUUAGCUAGUUGGUAAGGUAACGGCUUACCAAGGCAACGAUGCGUAGCCGACCUGAGAGGGUGAUCGGCCACACUGGAACUGAGACACGGUCCAGACUCCUACGGGAGGCAGCAGUAGGGAAUCUUCCGCAACGGGCGAAAGCCUGACGGAGCAACGCCGCGUGAGUGAUGAAGGUCUUCGGAUCGUAAAACUCUGUUAUUAGGGAAGAACAAAUGUGUAAGUAACUAUGCACGUCUUGACGGUACCUAAUCAGAAAGCCACGGCUAACUACGU